CGCACAUUGCGCCCCUUGGUAUUCCGGGGGGCAUGCCCGUUCGAGCGUCAUUACACCACACAAGCCUGGCUUGGUAUUGGGCCACGGGGGGGACCCGGGCCUCAAAGUCCUCGGCCGGACCGCCGGAAUCUCAGCGUCGUGAAUCAAUUUCGCUGGCGAGACGGGAGGUGCGCGCCGGAAAACACCCUUAUCACAGGUUGACCUCGGAUCGGGUAGGGAUACCCGCUGAACUUAA
rnacentral:misc_RNA from 1 species